UAUGAUCUGGGCGAAGUCACGCCAGAAUGGUAUGAGAGCCCGCGUGUACGGUCGAGCGAGGGCGCCCAUAAGCCGAAGAAACCCAAGCCCUAGCGUGGCAUCCGCUCGCGCAGGGGGAGGAAUUCGAGUUUUCCCGUGGGGUUGGAAGGUGGAGAUGGCGGAGAUCUUUCUGGGCUACGCGGCUAUCCGGCAGCUCUCCCAGUUCUUUGCCGCUCUCGUCUUCUUCCACGCCUCCGAGUACGCCCUCGCCAUCGCCAUCCACGGCCGCUCCGACGUUUCUGUCAGCUCGCUUCUGAUUAGCAAACAAUAUAUUGUUGCAAUGAGUUGUGCUUUGCUGGAAUACGUGAUAGAGAUUUUCCUCUUUCCAGAAUUGAAAGAAUAUAUGUGGAUCAGCAACUUUGGUCUUGUAAUGGUAAUAGUUGGGGAGCUUAUACGUAAAGGUGCUGUGCUAACAGCUCGCCAUGCCUUUACUCACACCAUCAGAACUUAUCAUGAAGACAACCAUGAGUUGAUUACUCAUGGCAUUUAUCGUUUCAUCCGCCACCCGGGGUAUUGCGGCUUUUUCAUCUGGGCAACUGGAACCCAAGUUAUGCUUUGCAAUCCCAUAUGCAUAGUUGCUUUUGCAGUUGUCACUUGGCGAUUCUUCUCUACUCGGAUACAAUAUGAGGAGUUCUUCUUGAGGCAGUUUUUUGGUUCCCAAUAUGACGAAUAUGCUGAGCAGGUUCCAUCUGGUCUUCCUUUUGUAAAAUGAAAGUCUGCAAAACUGUUGGCUUGUUUUCGAAACAGAAAUAUCUGUUGGCUCGCCAGUUAUAUUUGACUGGUGGUCAGGAGUGUAAGAACAUUGGUCAGGUCAUCUUUAGCUACUACGUCAGCAUCAUCAUCCACAACUUGAACCAGAAGCUAUCCUUUUUCUUCUUCUUUUUGUGGUGGGGUCUCCCUUUCCUUACAUUGUUUGUAUUUUAAAGAGAAUGAAGCCAGAUGAUGUGAUAUUAAGGUGGCUCUAUAUUAGCAACAACUUUUGGUAUGGACAAACAUUGGGUCUUGAUCCUAGAUCUCUUCAUGAAUUCACUGAAAAUAUGGUGUCCUAUGGGAAAGCUUUUUGGUAUGAAUGAAUUGUACAUGGACUUGAUGGACU